GUCUCUUCCUUCCUAGGCCUACCUCUGCUGGCGCUUUUUUCUUCCAACCUCCCUAUGCAGUAAAACCAGCCAAGCCCACAUGCCCACUGGGAGCCCUGAAACCAGAUCUGGUUUUCUGUCUUACCUGAACAGGUUCCCAGAACCCACACCAGGCCUCUGAAUCAGUCUCUGAGAAUCUGAUUGAUUUAAAGCCACUUGGUUGCUUCCAUUGCACUACCUGGGUUGCGAUCCCCUCACUUGAUUUAGUAAAAAGAAAACUUAGCGGCCGGGUGCGGUGGCUCACGCCUGUAAUCCCAGCACUUUGGGAGGCUGAGGCGGGUGGAUCACCUGAGGUCGGGAGUUCCAGACCAGCCUGACCAACAUGAAGAAAUCCCGUCUCUACUAAAAAUACAAAAUUAGCUGGGCGUGAUGGUGCAUGCCUGUAAUCCCAGCUACUUGGAGGCUGAGGCAGGAGAAUCGCUUGAACCUGGGAAGCGGAGGUUGUGGUGAGCCGAGAUCAUGCCAUUGCACUCCAGCCUGGACAACAAGAGUGAAACUCCAUCUCAAAAAAAAAAAAAAAAAAAAGAAAAGAAAAGAAAGAAAACUCAGCUAGGAAUUAGAAACAUCAUUUGUCCUCUUGGCCUGUUCAGCUGGUGACUGUAGAUUUGAUGAAAAAGGGAAACUUGGGACUCCGGAGGACCAAGAUGGAGCGAGACGGUCAAUACUGAUGGACUUGCAGCUAGCACCAUGGCAGCCCUGCCUGGUCUAAGGAAGCUGGCAGGAGGCGAUGGUACCUGGCGGGGGCAGACUGCCCACCUCCCCACUCCUUCAGAGGACUGUUUCCUGCCCUUCACACCAUCAUCAUGUUGGGCCCUGCAUGUAUGUUCCUGCACUUGGAGCGAGCCCAGGGACACAGGGCAGACACUGGGCUCACAGAUGUUGCUGCAGCUGAGCCAGAAAACAUUCCAGGCAGGAAAAGCAGGUGCACACAUUCACACAGGCCUCUGGUCACUCGACCAGCCAGAAUGAGACAGACUCCUUGACCCGGGAAGUCAAGUCCCAGCGGGAAGGGCUGGAAAUCACACGUGGUCAACUUCUUGGCUCUCUCUGCUCCCCAAACCCUGGCCCUAGGCUUGCUUUAUCAUCGCAUCCCAAGGCCAGAGGGCUGCUGCUGUCCCCAUCUUGGCCCUGCUAGAAGAGGGAUAGGGGUGGCUGGCAUGAUGGGUGAGGGGAACAUGAGAAUAUGCAGAGGCCUUGGAGGAAGAGGACUGGCAGUUAUGACAGGAAGGCUCUCUAUACCUGGCUCCCCAGUGUUCUGCCCCUGGCACUGAGCAUGAGGAGCCAGGCUUUGGGGAGACUUUGCAAUCACCCCCCCAACCUGGUCCAUUUUCCACAGGUAGCUUUCUUGAACUCACCUUGACCCCUCCUCAGCCAGCAGCCCCCACCUCCAGGGGCAAAGGAGCUGGAAGACAGUCCUGAACUGGGGGGAGCUGGGAUCACAUCAGCCAGGCCCUUCCCUCACAGGAAGUGAGAUGAGGUGAUACCAUGGAUGGUGACUAAGGCCCCAAAGUCCCUGCCUCUCUGCCUCCCCAGAAACCUCACAGCCAGGCCAGCCCCCAGAGCAGAGCCUGUGUAAACACGCCCAGGAGGGGAGGAGGGGUUGCUACAUAUGAGAACCAGUUAAAAAUAAAUUUAAAAAGCACCACUA
rnacentral:lncRNA from 1 species